GGGGAGAUAGCUUAGUGGCAGAGCGUGUGCUUACCAUGUGCAAGGUCCUGAGUUCAAUCCCCAAUAUCUUCA
rnacentral:tRNA from 1 species